UGUGGCUUAGCUCAGCGGUAGAGCACUCGCCUAGCAUGUGUGAGGUGCUGGGUUCGAUCCUCAGCACCACAU
rnacentral:tRNA from 1 species